rnacentral:rRNA from 1 species
CAGCAGCCGCGGGAAUACGUAGGGUGCAAGCGUUAAUCGGAAUUACUGGGCGUAAAGCGUGCGCAGGCGGUUCGGAAAGAAAGAUGUGAAAUCCCAGGGCUCAACCUUGGAACUGCAUUUUUAACUACCGGACUAGAGUAUGUCAGAGGGAGGUGGAAUUCCACGUGUAGCAGUGAAAUGCGUAGAUAUGUGGAGGAACACCGAUGGCGAAGGCAGCCUCCUGGGAUAAUACUGACGCUCAUGCACGAAAGCGUGGGGAGCAAACAGGAUUAGAUACCCCGGUAGUCCCUGUCUCUUAUAC